rnacentral:rRNA from 1 species
UAGGGAAUCUUCGGCAAUGGACGAAAGUCUGACCGAGCAACGCCGCGUGAGUGAAGAAGGUUUUCGGAUCGUAAAACUCUGUUGUUAGAGAAGAACAAGGACGUUAGUAACUGAACGUCCCCUGACGGUAUCUAACCAGAAAGCCACGGCUAACUACGUGCCAGCAGCCGCGGGAAUACGUAGGUGGCAAGCGUUGUCCGGAUUUAUUGGGCGUAAAGCGAGCGCAGGCGGUUUCUUAAGUCUGAUGUGAAAGCCCCCGGCUCAACCGGGGAGGGUCAUUGGAAACUGGGAGACUUGAGUGCAGAAGAGGAGAGUGGAAUUCCAUGUGUAGCGGUGAAAUGCGUAGAUAUAUGGAGGAACACCAGUGGCGAAGGCGGCUCUCUGGUCUGUAACUGACGCUGAGGCUCGAAAGCGUGGGGAGCAAACAGG